ACGAACGCUGGCGGCGUGCUUAACACAUGCAAGUCGAACGGAAAGGCCCUGCUUUUGUGGGGUGCUCGAGUGGCGAACGGGUGAGUAACACGUGAGUAACCUGCCCUUGACUUUGGGAUAACUUCAGGAAACUGGGGCUAAUACCGGAUAGGAGCUCCUGCUGCAUGGUGGGGGUUGGAAAGUUUCGGCGGCUGGGGAUGGACUCGCGGCUUAUCAGCUUGUUGGUGGGGUAGCGGCUUACCAAGGCUUUGACGGGUAGCCGGCCUGAGAGGGUGACCGGCCACAUUGGGACUGAGAUACGGCCCAGACUCCUACGGGAGGCAGCAGUGGGGAAUAUUGCACAAUGGGCGGAAGCCUGAUGCAGCAACGCCGCGUGCGGGAUGACGGCCUUCGGGUUGUAAACCGCUUUCGCCUGUGACGAAGCGUGAGUGACGGUAAUGGGUAAAGAAGCACCGGCUAACUACGUG
rnacentral:rRNA from 1 species